rnacentral:rRNA from 1 species
UUGAACGCUGGCGGCAUGCCUUACACAUGCAAGUCGAACGGCAGCACGGAGCUUGCUCUGGUGGCGAGUGGCGAACGGGUGAGUAAUAUAUCGGAACGUACCCUAGAGUGGGGGAUAACGUAGCGAAAGUUACGCUAAUACCGCAUACGAUCUAAGGAUGAAAGUGGGGGAUCGCAAGACCUCAUGCUCGUGGAGCGGCCGAUAUCUGAUUAGCUAGUUGGUAGGGUAAAAGCCUACCAAGGCAUCGAUCAGUAGCUGGUCUGAGAGGACGACCAGCCACACUGGAACUGAGACACGGUCCAGACUCCUACGGGAGGCAGCAGUGGGGAAUUUUGGACAAUGGGCGAAAGCCUGAUCCAGCAAUGCCGCGUGAGUGAAGAAGGCCUUCGGGUUGUAAAGCUCUUUUGUCAGGGAAGAAACGGUGAGAGCUAAUAUCUCUUGCUAAUGACGGUACCUGAAGAAUAAGCACCGGCUAACUACGUGCCAGCAGCCGCGGUAAU